ACAGUUUGGGGAACUUUUUCCCACCUGAGCCUUUGUCCCAUCUUGGGACACUGGAGAUCAUCAUUUUUUGUUUCCCUCUUCCUUCCUUCCACUGGUGAGGAGUGGCUGCUCUCCCUUAUUGUGGAAGACCCUCCAAAGGGAAGAGACAGGAAGAGUGCUCUAAACCUUCAGUCUCCAGUCUCUCAGAGUCUCCAUGCUGAUUGGCUGAGCCUGAGGAUAAGGCUCUUCCCUUCCUACUCCGUCCAUUCAUCUGGCAGCUCCAGAAGUUUAACUGGCUAUAGGUCACCCUCAAGAUAUCACCCCCAGACUGAUGAAAUAGUGGAGCGGUCUAAAGGGAUCCUGAAGGUCUUGAGGGUAUUUGUGGAGGAGGAUCCCUAGGACCGGCACAAGUUGCUCCCUGCACUCCUCUUCGCCAUGCGAGAAGUCCCACAGACCUCUACUGGAUUUUCCAUUUGAGCUACUCUAUGUCAGCAUCCCUGGCAAAUCCUAGACCUCUUGAGAGAAUCCUGAGAGAACUAGGAAACCUGAGUUGCGGUUCUGUCCAGUAUAUUUUAUGAGUACAGGAAUGGCUCCAAGAGCUGGGUACUAUGGCAUGAGAGAACCUGUUAUAAGACCAGCAUACUCAGGAAACCCACUAUGAAGAUAGGGUGGUGAAGAUGAGGAUCUUUGAGCCAGGAGACUGUGUCCUGUUGCUACUAUCCCCCUCAGAAUCCAAGGUGCUGGCCAAAUGGCAAGACUCCUUCCAGAUAAUCAGCCAAGUUGGGCCUGUUGAUUAUGAGAUCUGCAUGUCACAGUGGCAGAGGGACACUUACGUCUACUACAUAAACCUCCCGAAGGCCUGGAAAGAAUGGGAGGGCCUGAGGAUUGCCCAUACCCACCAGAACCUGAGUUGCGGCCACUAGCUGAUAAAUCUGCGGAGCCUGGGACAAUGGCUGUUGGCCAAGAACUAAGCCCUAGGCAACAGGAACAAGUCCAGUAGUUAAUGGCCAGUUUCCCCUCCAUCUUAGCAUCUCAGUCAGGGAACACUAAACUGAUCCAUCAUUAUAUCACAAACCAGAUUGGUUGAUGAUAUGUUUUGAAUCCACCUAAUAGAAAAAAAAAUCAAAAUUACAAUGUUAGAAAGAUGCAAGUUUAUACGUUCUUACUUUGCAAACACAAGACAUUCUCCUCCACAAGACUGUUCUUUACUUGUUUUCAGAGAAUCCAGAAUUUUGGGAAGUGGAAUGUAUGAGGCUUGGGAAGAAUGAGAGGAACACCAAGAGUUGAAGAGUUUCCACUUUUGAAGUUAAGUUUUGUGAUUACAAAAUUUCCUGCUAGAUAGGAGAACCCACUGGACUGCAUCUGAAUAGGUUAGAGUUCCAUGCUUAGGAGUCAUGCUCAAAGAUUCAAAGAUGAGGGGCUGGGAGGGAUUAGGGUCUCCAAAUUCUGUGAAGGAGAUCCUUUCUAAUACGUAGCUGAAGAGGUGCUGCCACAGAGAAGUGAAGCUGGUUUUAAUCACUACACUUGUCUUGAUAAGGAUGGCAGUAUAGGGAUCAAAGGUAGAAGUGGAUACGUAAUACAGUAGGAUAUGUGGCAUUGAUAUUCUAAGUGAUAGAAAUGUAGCCGUGUUAGUCUGGAGUAGCUGAAGCAAAAUGCAGGACAAUGUAGCACCUCCCAGUAGUGUUGCAGAUUCGAGUAUGAUGCAGCUUUAAUUGUGAAUGCCAGGCAAAUCAUAGAUCAUUGUAUUAGCGGAUAGUAAGAGUUACUGGAAUACAUAGUUUCUCACCUUCAAUUUUUUUUAUUAAUUCACCAUUAGUAUUACAGCUGUAACUUUGCAGUAGUUAAAAAAACCAUCUCAGAUAUACAUAAUGUAAUUAAAAAAUCUGAGAUGAGUGGGAUAAUUUAUUGAAGCAGUGCAACACCUGCCUCCUGUGACACAUGGCAGAUUUGGGGAUUCCCAGAAACAGACCUUUGUGCCACUCACUGAAAAUGCUGGGGGGAUUUUUCAGGGAAGACUAGUGGAAUAGGAUGGAAAUGGAUGGAGUAUUCCAUGCUGAUCACCUCCACAAAUCCAUCUGCAAGAGGUAAUUUGUGCCUAGGCAGGUAGGAAGUAGGAUAUCCAAUCUCCAAAGGGGGGGGUUGGAUGUAAUAAUUCAGCACAGGAUUCAGUAAGGUAAGCUUCUUGAGGCCCUCAACCAAGAUGUCAAAAUUAUUUUGUAGAUGAGAUGUUGCUAUAGAAGGGGGGGGAAGCCCCUUUUCUGAGGUCUAGAUCGCCUCCUCUGAAAAGCUCAAAAUCUGGGAAUGUUCUACUGAGUUUUGUAUUGGAAAAGCUUAGUCUGUUGUGAUAUUUGAGACCUACUAAACUAUCUCUUGGUUUUAGCAAUGUAAACUCCCAGUGACUGUCAAGUAGCUCUCAAGUCCUUCAGAGUAUAGAGGAAGGACUCCAUGUCAGAGAUGGAAACCUUGGAUCUUAAAAGAGAAGGUCUGCAAACAUAUUCUGCACUUCUCUUGGGAGAUGACAACUGGAGUCAAGAUGCUCUCCACAUAACCAUGACUAUAUCUAGGGAAGUAGAAGCCGUGACUGAAACAUCUAAAGCAGCCUGGAAGGAGAUUCUGGUUUUCAAAUUACUGUCUGAAAUGAGAGCCUGAAUUUGUUCUCUGAUCUGUGGCAGGUGUUCAAUAAAAUGAAUGAACAUGCCAUAUAUAUUGCAAUCCAUAUUUUACCAACAUAUU